rnacentral:rRNA from 1 species
UACGAAGGGGCUAGCGUUGUUCGGAAUUACUGGGCGUAAAGCGCACGUAGGCGGAUUGUUAAGUUAGGGGUGAAAUCCCGGGGCUCAACCUCGGAACUGCCUUAGAUACUGGCAAUCUUGAGUCCGGAAGAGGUGAGUGGAAUUCCUAGUGUAGAGGUGAAAUUCGUAGAUAUUAGGAAGAACACCAGUGGCGAAGGCGGCUCACUGGUCCGGAACUGACGCUGAGGUGCGAAAGCGUGGGGAGCAAACAGGAUUAGAUACCCUCGUAGUCCCUGAGCGGG